AAGAUCUCAGGUUUUUCCUGUGCCCACAUCUGUCCCUGGGCAUUUAUAGUGACUUUUAAAAUUUCCUAUAUAAUAAUGGUUUUCAAUUGUCCUAGUCCUUAAAUUUCUAUUUCCCAAAAGGUAAAAUAUGAGGAAGUGAAUGGGAAAUAAACAUGGACUGCCUUUUUAAAUCCUUUGAAGGUCACAUCACUCAGUGGGGUCUGCAAUAAUAGUGAUUUGCCUCUGUGUCUCUACCUCCAUGAUCAGAAGCUGCAAUCACUGAUCAGAAUAUAGAUCCCCAAUAUUUGAAAAAGAUUCUUAUUGUCAAACAUGACUCCUGCUGCUCAGGAAAGAGAGCAUGGCUGAAAUCUAGAGGUGUUGUCUGGUAGCUGCUAUUGUGCUGAGUGUUGAAACAUACCAAAACUAAUAGCAAUUUACUUUCCAGCAACUGUAAGCCUUUUAAUAGGCCCCAGAGUCCCAAAAAUAAUUACAUAAGAUAAAUUCUGUCAGUAGUUUAUGUCUAAGUGGAGAAAUUGAUUCUUGGCACUUUGGACUUUCCACCUUCCCUAACAUCAAUAUUUCAUUCUGUUUACAGCAAAACCUGCACACAGAGAUAUUUAUAGCAGCUUUAUUCAUAAUAUCCUAAAACUGUAAGCAACAAAAAUACCCUUCAGUGGUUGGAUAAAUAAACUGUGGCACAUCCAGACAAUGGAAUAUUGUUCAGCACUAAAAAGAAAUGAGCUAUCAAGCCAUGAAAAGACAUAGAGGAAACCUAGAUACAUAUUACUAAUUGAAAGAAGGCUAUCUAAUACUGUAUGAUUUCAACUGUAUAACAUUCUGGAAAAUACAAAACUAUGGAGAGAGUAAAAAGAUGCCAGGAGCUGGGGGAGAAAUAUACAGAGGAUUUUUAGGGCGGUAAAGCUACUCUGUAUCCUAAUGAUGAAUACAUGUCAUUAUUAGUUUGUCUCAACCUAUAGAAUGUACAGUGACAUAAGAUUACAUAAGGAAACAAUUGAAUACAAAUUAAUAGACAAGAAAAAGGAAGUCUAGUAGAGAAAGGGGGGAGAUGGGAGGAAAAAGGGGGAUCAUGAACUGAUAUCAAUUUCCAUGCAUGUAUGAGUUUGUUAGGAGAAACCAACUAUUAUGUAUAACCAUAAAGCUCUAUUAAAAAAUAAAAGUGCUAAUAAAAAUGAAUUCUAAUGUAAACUGUGAACUUUGGGUGAUAAUGAGUGUCAAUGUAGGUUCUUCAAUUGUAAACAGAUUGGGUAUGUCAAAAUGCAGUCUACUGUCAUGUGUAACUAAUUAAAACAAAUAAAAAUUGUAGCUUUAAUUAGAAGAAAAAACCCCAAAUGUACCACUCUGGUGGGGGGAUGUGAUAAUGGAAGAGACUAUGUAUGCAGUGGUAGAAAUGUACGGGAGAUCUCUGUAACUUCUAAUUUUGUGUGACCCUAAGACUGCAAUAAAAUGUAAAAAGUCAUAUCCCCCUAGUCAUGUAUUAGAACUGUUAUGCAAUGACAACUAUAAAAGUAAAAUAAUGGAAAGUAAUUUACAACAAAAUGUUUUCCCUCCAUGAGGCUUGGGCCUGUAGAGGAUGGUCAGGUGCUUCUGUCAGCUUAUAAUUUAAUUAAUAGGGCACCCUCAUUGGGCUCUGCCAGUCCUGCUCCCAUCAUGUAACCCAUAUUGGCACUUCAUUCUUGCAUAACCCCAUUUUUAUUGACUCUUUUUACUUAUACAUAACAUCAGGGUUCAUUUUGGCAUAAUUAUAAAAACAUGGACUAUCA
rnacentral:lncRNA from 1 species